AAAAAUGUCAUAUAAUCCAGUGACGUAGGUAGAUAAAAUUAUGUAGAAUUAGAAUAAUGUGAUUGAAUAUUCAUUUCAGAUUUCCAUCUGAUACCGAAAAGAGAGGAAUUUGGGCUUCGCUCCUUGGAUUUGAAAGCGUUAAUUUCACUAAGAAGUUAGUAUUUAUUUGUUCGAACCAUUUCAAUCCAGACGAUAUUGAAAUAAGGCCAAAUGGAAAAUUCCUCAAGCCAGAUGUUGUCCCAUUACCUUAUCAUACAACAUUCGAGAUUUCAAAUGAAAGUUCAGACACAGUAUCCGAACAAGAAGAUAGUCGUAUCAGCCCAACUACAGAGACAAUGUUGUUUGGAGUGGCAAGUAACCAGUUUGAUGUUGAAGCUCUGUCUAAAAGCUCAUCAUCAUCUUGAGCAACUCUUACUGCUUCAUCUUCAGUUACUCUUACAGCCUCAGAGUGUGAAAACGAACUUUCUAAGACAAUUUUUGUUGAACCAUCAUCCCAAAAUGUUCCAAGAAAAAAAAGAAAGAGGAGCUAUUUUGGCGAUUUGUCGAGCAGUGAUUUCUCGACACCAGAGAAGCGAAGGAAAAGUUUUCACGGUAUAAAGAAAAUUGUCAGAAAACAAAAAGUGAGAAUACAUUCUCUUCAAAAUAAGGUCCGUCGUCAAAGGCUUCGAAUAACAUCAUUGAAAAGUUUGGUGUCAUUUUUGAAUGAAAAGUUUCGUUUAUCAGAGGAAUCAGAACACACAUUAUUGGCAUCAAUCCCCAAAACAGCUGGAGAUUUGUUUAAGAGAAUGUUGCGAGGCCCCACAAGGCAAAAAUAUGAACCAAGCUUGCGAUCAUUUGCAUUGACUUUGGCAUUUUAUUCACCGAAGGCAUAUAACUAUGUUAGAAAAACCUUCAAUGACAGUUUACCACAUUUGGGAACAAUAUCCAAAUGGUAUCGAUCAGUUGAUGGUACUCCUGGUUUUACCAAAGGGUACAUAUGUUCCAUUAUGAUGCAUUGAUUAUUCAAAUAUCAUUUCAAAAGUAUUGUAAGAAGUUUUUAGUUUGUUCAUUUUUGAUUGGCUAUCUAUUCUUGAUUCUGGUUAUAGGUUAGUGUAAUGUUAUGAUUUUGUAUUCAUUGAAUGAAAACUUGUUAUACUGAAACAUUAAUCGAGAAAAGUCAAUAGAACAAAACAAUAUCAGAAUUAUAUGUAGGUAUAUUAAAAUUUAACUCUGUUUUAGUUCAAAAUAACAACUAGCUGUGAAUUGUUUUUUUUUGUCAGGUGUUAAGGAAUGAAAUCUUGUCAAAAACUGUAGGCCCUGAUACCAUAAUAUGUAAUUGAUUGUUUCUUGAAAAAAUAAAUCAUUUGUUUGGGAGCUGUAGGUAUCUAGUCAAGCAUCAGCAUACGAUUAAAUAUCUCAGAUAUACUAAACUCAAUUAAAUAUGCCAUAUCUGUAUCUACCAUUUGUAUUAUUUGUAUUUUACAAUAAAUUGCUUGAUGACAUCAAAAGAUUAAAUGAACAAAGUUUCGAUAAAAAAGUAAAGGAAUUAUUGCUGCAGAACACAAUAUACAGCCUAAAAGAGUUUUAAAAUGUUUGUGUAUGUAAUUUGUUUUUUAAACCUGAUUGAAUUUUUAUGACAAACCGUGAAAAUUAUUGACUGAAUAUUUAUAGUGUACAAUGUGAUGUAGUACAUAUGUAAAUAAAUAUUAUUAUUAUGAAGUUUUGUUACUUCAAGGCUAUGAAU